ACACGUCACCAUGCUUACUAACACGUCACCAUGGUUACUAACACGUCACCAUGCUUACUAACACGUCACCAUGGUUACUGACAGAGAAGAAGGCUAUAAAUGAUCUAAAGUUGGUCCAGCCUCCAGAGAAAGAUUUAAUAAUGACAAAACACUCAAAUAAAGAUUAAAUCAAACUUCGUAUCAGGGCGGAGCAGUCAGCGCUCAGCUCUGAUUGGCUGUGACCAAACUGUCCCUUCCUUGUUGUUCCUUUAGUAAAACAGCUCUAUCCACUGCCCUGUUAUAUCUGAGCACACGCAGCGUAGAAGAACAGUAAUAACCUUCAAACCAGCGACCUCCGGAGCAGCGACCCGGAGCAGCGACCCGGAGUGACUCCGUCUCUGGCUCCGGUUUGUCCCGUCAGCAGGUCGUUUAGAUAUUUAGUGUUGCUUAGUGACCAAAUGAUGUGCAGCUAUUUUAUAACAACACAUAGAGAAGUGGCAUGUUUGUUAUUAAAAUCAAAAUGAAAAUGUAAAAAAAGAAAAGUGAAUUAUAUCAAAACAUGAAUGUUGAGAGAAGAGAAGAAGAGAAGAGGACACAUUUUACUGGACUUUUUCUGAUGUCUCCAAAGCGAAGGAGGACAGAGGCAUGAUGGGAAAUCACUGGAGAACAUCUUUAACUCAAAAUGAACUGAACAUCUUCGUCAUUAACACACAUAGUUAUAAUAUAUCUAGAAAGUAUUAAUAUCCAUCAGCAUCAUAUCUGAUAACUUCUUCAGCACUUUUAACAUAUUCAAAGCAACACAGGCGUCGAGUUAACGGACAUUUAAAGGUCUUUUAUCUUUUAAUAAAUCUGUUUAAUACAACGACUGUAAACAGAUGAGACGGUUGUUGGGCUCAUCACAUCCUCCAUGAAGAGGAGAUCAUGUAUUUAGUUUGUAGAUGGUUCAUGCAGUAUAAAUAUAAUAAUAGUAAUAUUAACAGCUGGAAGUUUAUUGUGAAUAUUAUUCAGAGUCAGACAGUCUGCUCUCAGGUUGUUUACAGUCGUCAUGUUUCUGUAUUAAUGUGAUUUAUUGAAUGUAAAAUGCACCUUUAAAUCUCAGCAGCUCAGACCUGUGAGGCGUUUAAGGACAGCUCCGUAGAGGCCGUCAGAAGGAAUUCACUCAAAUGCUGCAAACGCCAAAAUCACCGCCGCAUCACACACCGCCACGUCUGCCUCGCCACCACAAGCUUCCUGUGUCUGUUGAAAAAAUAAAAGACUGAGAAACACGAAGAUGUGUGAGCUGGAGCGAGCCGGCCGGCGAACAUCGGUCACUUUACGUUGAUGACUUCCUUUCUUUCUUUCUUUCUUUCUUUCUUUCUUUACUUCUUUACUUCCUGAGGAAUGAUUCUGAGAGGAUUCACGCUUUGUUCUGAUUGGUUGAGUGUAGUUACAAACAGGAAGUGGGUUGCUGUGACUGACACCAUGAUGACACAAAGAUUGUUCCAUCUUUCUUUCUUUUUGUACAUUUGAAAGUGUUUUUUCUUUCUUUCUUUUUUUAUUGAGUUAUUUUAACACGCAGGGCGACUUCGUGGACGCAGGUCACCGCCAACGAGUCAAACAAUUUAACGGCUGCAUGCGUGAUGUCAUGAUGAUGAUGUCAUAUUUAUAAUAGAUUUAUAUAAUGACACUGGCAGGUAGAAGGUUCCCGUCCCAGAGGCACGACAGGCUUUACUCUGGAUUUGAACCGAAGCUUUUUUGGACUCAGAGGUCAGACUGAGGUCAGAUUAAGGUCAGACUAAGGUCAGACUGAGGUCAUACUGAGGUCAUACUGAGGUCAGAGUGAGGUCAGAGGUCAGACGGAUGUUAAAGGUCAUAUUGAGGUCAGACUGAGGUCAGACUAAGGUCAGAGGUCGUUGGCGGUGACCGACCUGUCGGAAGCCGCCCUGCUGCUGUACAUACUGAACCACUGAAUGACGAUAUAACUCUUGUUGUUGUUGUUGUUUUCAUAUCUGGAUGCAGUUGCUGUAACAGAUGAAUGGUGAUGUGAAUGAUAACAAGGAGUUACAAUAAAGAGCGUUUCUAUUUGUUUUGA